AGAACGAACGCUGGCGGCAGGCUUAACACAUGCAAGUCGAACGAUGUAGCAAUACAUAGUGGCGCACGGGUGAGUAACACGUGGGAACAUGCCUUUCAGUUCGGGAUAACACCGGGAAACUGGUGCUAAUACCGAAUAUUCUCUCCGGAGGAAAGAUUUAUCGCUGAAAGAUUGGCCCGCGUUAGAUUAGGUAGUUGGUGGGGUAAUGGCCUACCAAGCCUACGAUCUAUAGCUGGUCUGAGAGGACGACCAGCCACACUGGAACUGAGACACGGUCCAGACUCCUACGGGAGGCAGCAGUGGGGAAUAUUGGACAAUGGGCGCAAGCCUGAUCCAGCCAUGCCGCGUGAGUGAUGAAGGCCUUAGGGUUGUAAAGCUCUUUUGUCAGGGAAGAUAAUGACGGUACCUGAAGAAUAAGCACCGGCUAACUUCGCGCCAGCAGCCGC
rnacentral:rRNA from 1 species